rnacentral:rRNA from 1 species
UACGUAGGUGGCAAGCGUUGUCCGGAAUUAUUGGGCGUAAAGCGCAUGUAGGCGGUUUUUUAAGUCUGUCGUGAAACUGCGGGGCCCAACCCCGUAUGGCGAUGGAAACUGGAAGGCUUGAGUGCAGGAGAGGAAAGGGGAACUCCCAGUGUAGCGGUGAAAUGCGUAGAUAUUGGGAAGAACACCGGUGGCGAAGGCGCCUUUCUGGACUGUGUCUGACGCUGAGAUGCGAAAGCCAGGGUAGC